rnacentral:lncRNA from 1 species
UAUUCUUCUAUCCCGUUCUAAUCUAUUAUCACCCUGUUGUCCAUCUUGUUGGAGCUACGAUCAAAUAAUUCACUUGCAGGACGUGUGUAUAAUGUCUAAUCAGAAUCCGGAAACUGGUAUGUACUGCAUAAAUUUUGGUGUUUCACAUACAUGGAUUCAGUUCCUAAAUUUUUGUAUUCUCUAGCAACAUCGUGUUGUAGGUGUUUGUGUUUUGUUCUAUGAGUCACCGUAUGUUCUGCACUUUUUUUUUGUUCAAUUCCGGUUUUUUGUUGUUUACCAAGAACAGACAUGUGUUCCAUUCACUGGUUUGGGAAUUAAUUUUGAAUUUGUAUUGUUUCUAGGUGAUUCAGAUGCCCCUCAUAUUGAGAGUUCCGAUUCCGAACAUUCAUUUAUAGAUUCUGAUGAUGAAUGUGGUGAAACUGAUGAGGACAGUCUACAUGAAUUUGGUACUGCAGGGGAAUCUCUAUAUCCCAAAGUUCCCGCCCCUAGAGUAGCUGUCACUCCUAGUGGUGAUAAAGUCUGGAUUCCAUCUUGCGACGAUGUAUAUAAACC